rnacentral:lncRNA from 1 species
AAAGGAUGUGUCAUUUGAAUUGGCUUUUAAAGAAUAGCUAGGAAUUUUUUAGUUGAGAGAAUACGGGGAACCACAUUCCACAUUGGAAAGGAUUAUGAAAGGGCACAAGGCUAAAUUAGUAAUGGAGAAUACCAACCCAGGAUAGUAGAGUUUCAUUUUAUUUUCUAUCCAGAUUGGGGAACAGGGUUUGGGACUAAUGUCUAUUUUAUAUCUUUCUAUGUGCCUGACACACAGAAGAUGCUUAGUAGAUAUUUGGAAUUACAAGAGUGACCUUUAUUCAGCUGUCUCCUUUUUGAUUCCCAUAACUUCUGGAUCUAUCAAGGUAUGUGCAUUCUACACUGAAAUUUACUUGGGGAAUUGAACACUUUGUUGUAUAAUGUGAAAAGAACGGAAUGUUUCACUGAUAUAAUCAGUUCUAUUCAUUGAGUGUCAUGUAAAUGAAAUGCAUUAUUUUAAACCUUUAAAAACCUAUUUGGCUAUGGUAUAGGUAAGUUUGUGUCUG